rnacentral:rRNA from 1 species
GAUGAACGCUGGCGGCGUGCUUAACACAUGCAAGUCGAACGGUGAAGGCGGAGCUUGCUCUGCUGGAUCAGUGGCGUACGGGUGAGUAACACGUGAGCAAUCUGCCCCUGACUCUGGGAUAAGCGCUGGAAACGGCGUCUAAUACUGGAUACGAGCUGCGAAGGCAUCUUCAGCAGCUGGAAAGAAUUUCGGUCAGGGAUGAGCUCGCGGCCUAUCAGCUUGUUGGUGAGGUAAUGGCUCACCAAGGGGUCGACGGGUAGCCGGCCUGAGAGGGUGACCGGCCACACUGGGACUGAGGCAGGGCCCAGAAUCCAACGGGAGGCAGCAGUGGGGAAUAUUGCACAAUGGGCGAAAGCCUGAUGCAGCAACGCCGCGUGAGGGACGACGGCCUUCGGGUUGUAAACCUCUUUUAGCAGGGAAGAAGCGAAAGUGACGGUACCUGCAGAAAAAGCGCCGGCUAACUACGUG